rnacentral:tRNA from 1 species
CAAGGAAUAGUUUAAGUAGAAUUUCACCUUUGGGUGUUGAUGGUGGACCUAGAGCUUCUUCCUUGAU